rnacentral:rRNA from 1 species
UACGGAGGAUCCAAGCGUUAUCCGGAAUCAUUGGGUUUAAAGGGUCCGUAGGCGGGCCAGUAAGUCAGUGGUGAAAUCUCCCGGCUCAACCGGGAAAUGGCCAUUGAUACUGCUGGUCUUGAAUUAUUAGGAAGUAACUAGAAUAUGUAGUGUAGCGGUGAAAUGCUUAGAGAUUACAUGGAAUACCAAUUGCGAAGGCAGGUUACUACUAAUGGAUUGACGCUGAUGGACGAAAGCGUGGGUAGCGAACAGGAUUAGAUACCCUGGUAGUCCACGCCGUAAACGAUGGAUACUAGCUGUUGGGGGCAACUUCAGUGGCUAAGCGAAAGUGAUAAGUAUCCCACCUGGGGAGUACGUUCGCAAGAAUG